GAGUUUUCCCGUGACUGACGGAAUCAAGGUGGCUACCACUGGGGAUCGGGAAACGUGAUAUGUAGCAUGCCGACCGUCUGGGCAAAGACC
rnacentral:ncRNA from 2 species